UACAGGGGGGCAAGCGUUGUUCGGAAUUACUGGGCGUAAAGGGCUCGUAGGCGGCCAACUAAGUCCGACGUGAAAUCCCCAGGCUUAACCUGGGAACUGCGUCGGAUACUGGAUGGCUUGAAUUCGGGAGAGGGAUGCAGAAUUCCAGGUGUAGCGGUGAAAUGCGUAGAUAUCUGGAGGAAUACCGGUGGCGAAGGCGGCAUCCUGGACCGACAUUGACGCUGAUGAGCGAAAGCUAGGGGAGCAAACGGGG
rnacentral:rRNA from 1 species